AUAGGCCUUAUUAUUUUCACAGGACAUGACUAAAUGGUGAUGCUUGCUCUUUUGGUGACCAUGAUGAUGUUCACCCCACCACACAAUGAUGUUUGAGGACCAAGAGGUCUCCCGACCUUUUAUUCUCAAUCCAGAAAUGUUAUGAAUGAUAACUGAAGUCAAAGAUUUUCUGGGAAUGUGUUGUGUAUGCUGGCUUUCCUCUGGUUUUGUCUAAGUCACAGAUGCUCUUGCUUCAGAUUCUCCUAGGUACAAGAGGAGCUAAUCAGCUUCAUGUUCCAGGAUAUUAUGAAAGGGGAGUUAAAAAAUAAGUGAAUUAAAACAACAACAACAAUAACAACAAGAGCUGCUGACAUUGCAAUCCCAUACCAGAAAGAAGAAGCAGGGUUAUAUGCAGGAUGGAAGCCAAGUGGUGGGUGGAUAUGCGGCUGAGGACCUCACAGGGCCCUACGCAACAGAGCUAGUGAAGUCUCCUGGCCAGCUUCCACCAGAUGGCUCAAUUCUCUUUUUUCAUCUAAUUCACAUCAUGGGUUAUUUCCUCUCAGGUCAUCUAAAGCAUUGCAUGCUAAACUUGCAUUUUAAUGCUUUCAUCAUCUACUAUUUCUUGAUCUUUAUUUAUUCUGCAUUAAUUGCCAUAAAUGUUUUAAAACCCUUA